AGUUCUCGCGAGACCGGAGACCAGGAAGACGCCUGCAGAGUCGGCUACUGGUGCAGCGGCGGCUGGGGCGGGAGGUGCCGCUGCAUCCCGGUCUCCCUGUCUGGCCUUGUGUCUAGGUGAGGAGAGGCGCGGUCAGCCUGGGCUGCCUAGGUGGCCAGUGGCUCUCGGGACCUGAGGAGGAUUCGGACUGAGGGCCUGUCGGGCCCAGCAGGGCAGCACCCACACUCCUGACAGAGUAAGAUGGCGGCGAUGGCGCCCGGAGGUGGCGGCAGUGGUAGCGGCGUAAAUCCUUUCCUCAGCGAUUCGGAUGAGGACGACGACGAGGUAGCGGCGACCGAGGACCGGCGGGCCGGACUUCGGCUGGGCGCUGGGGUCGGCCUUGAUCCCGGUUCUGCGGGCUCGCUGUCGCCACAGGACCCCAUGGCCCCGGGAAGCAGCGCGCGGCCGGGGCUCCCGGUGGAGGCGUCCGCCGCUCCGGCGGCUCUAGCGGGCAGCGGGGAGCCCCCUGCCCGGUUGUCGAUCGAUGCCAUCGCCGCUCAGCUGCUGCGCGAUCAGUACUUGCUGACCGCCCUGGAGCUGCACACCGAGCUGUUGGAGAGCGGCCGCGAGCUCCCGCGGCUGCGCGACUACUUCUCCAACCCCGGCAACUUCGAGAGGCAGAGCGGGACCCCGCCGGGGAUCGGGGCGCCGGGGAUUCCUGGCGCGGCCGCCGUCGGAGGCGCUGGAGGUCGGGAACCGAGCACGACGUCGGGCGGAGGGCAGCUCAAUCGAGCUGGGAGCAUUAGUACUCUUGAUUCAUUAGACUUUGCAAGAUAUUCAGAUGAUGGUAACAGGGAAACAGAUGAAAGAGUGGCAGUCCUGGAGUUUGAACUACGGAAAGCCAAGGAGACCAUUCAGGCCCUCCGAGCCAACCUAACAAAGGCUGCAGAACAUGAAGUUCCUUUACAGGAACGAAAAAAUUACAAAUCAAGUCCUGAAAUUCAGGAGCCAAUCAAACCUCUUGAAAAGAGAGCUCUCAACUUCCUAGUCAAUGAGUUUUUGUUGAAGAAUAACUACAAGCUUACAUCAAUAACCUUUUCAGAUGAAAAUGAUGAUCAGGAUUUUGAAUUAUGGGAUGAUGUAGGAUUAAACAUUCCCAAACCCCCAGACUUGUUACAACUUUACCGAGACUUUGGAAAUCAUCAAGUGACUGGGAAAGACCUUGUGGAUGUGGCCAGUGGAGUGGAUGAAGAUGAAUUAGAGGCUCUUACACCAACUGUAGGCAGUGUCCCUCCAGCUCUUGAUACUCCCCUGCCUGCAGAGAACUCCUUGCUAGUACAGAAAUUAGAAGAUAAAAUUAGUUUAUUAAAUAAUGAAAAAUGGUCAUUGAUGGAGCAAAUCAGAAGGCUUGAAAGUGAGAUGGACAUUCUCAAAACUGAACACUUUACCACCCCAGCAGUUGGUGAUUCUGUUCAGCCUUCCUUGGUUUGGUCUUCCCCAAAAGAUUCUGAAGACAAUAAACAGAGCCCAGUUGCAAAUAGUUCAGACCAGGAAAAAACAAAGGAUGUUCAUCUUGAAAUACCAGAUGGAGCUGAUUCCUUUAUUCCUAAAGAGAAUUCAUCAGAUUCUUUCCCCACGAAGGAAAGAGAAGAGCUGCCACCUUCUUCUGUAUCAAGUAAAACCACUCUCCAUUUCGAUCAGCCCAAUAGGAAGUUGUCACCUGCUUUCCACCAAGCACUACUCUCUUUUUGUCGAAUGUCAGCAGAUAGUCGGUUAGGAUCAGAGGUGUCUAGGAUUGCAGACAGUGAGAAAAGUGUUAUGUUAAUGCUGGGUCGCUGCCUGCCACACAUUGUUCCUAAUGUGCUGUUGGCAAAAAGAGAGGAGUUGAUUCCUCUCAUAUUGUGUACAGCAUGCCUACACCCUGAGCCUAAAGAAAGAGACCAGCUCCUCCAUAUACUCUUCAACUUGAUCAAGAGGCCAGAUGAUGAGCAAAGGCAAAUGAUACUGACAGGUUGUGUGGCAUUUGCACGUCAUGUUGGACCAACACGUGUGGAGGCUGAACUUUUACCGCAGUGUUGGGAACAGAUUAAUCACAAAUAUCCAGAAAGACGACUGCUUGUGGCAGAGUCCUGUGGAGCACUGGCGCCUUACCUUCCUAAAGAAAUCCGUAGUUCCUUGGUUCUUUCAAUGUUGCAACAGAUGUUAAUGGAAGAUAAGGCUGAUUUGGUAAGAGAAGCUGUGAUUAAAAGCCUGGGUAUCAUUAUGGGCUACAUUGAUGAUCCUGACAAAUAUCAACAGGGCUUUGAAUUGUUGCUUUCAGCCCUGGGUGAUCCCUCAGAAAGAGUUGUUAGUGCAACACACCAAGUAUUUUUACCAGCCUAUGCUGCCUGGACAACUGAACUUGGAAACUUACAGUCUCACCUCAUACCUACACUACUUAACAAGAUUGAAAAGCUUCUCAGGGAAGGAGAGCACGGGCUGGACGAACACAAGCUCCACAUGUAUCUUUCUGCCUUGCAGUCCUUGAUCCCAUCUCUCUUUGCAUUAGUGCUACAGAACGCACCUUUCUCCAGCAAAGCCAAGCUGCAUGGUGAAGUACCACAUAUUGAAGUGACUAGGUUUCCUCGGCCUAUGUCACCUCUGCAAGAUGUGUCUGUUAUUAUUGGAAGUCGUGAGCAAUUGGCAGUGCUGCUACAACUUUAUGAUUACCAACUGGAGCACGAGGGCACAACAGGCUGGGAGAGUUUACUCUGGGUUGUCAAUCAAUUGUUGCCGCAGCUUAUAGAAAUAGUGGGCAAAAUUAAUGUAACCUCAACUGCCUGUGUCCAUGAGUUCUCCAGGUUUUUCUGGCGUCUUUGCCGGACAUUUGGCAAAAUUUUUACAAACACUAAGGUAAAACCCCAGUUCCAAGAGAUUUUAAGACUCUCUGAAGAAAACAUCGAUUCCUCAGCAGGAAAUGGGGUCCUCACUAAAGCUACCGUCCCCAUUUAUGCAACAGGAGUCCUCACAUGUUACAUUCAGGAAGAGGACCGAAAGCUGUUAGUUGGCUUCUUGGAAGAUGUGAUGACACUGCUCUCACUGUCACAUGCUCCUCUUGACAGCCUGAAGGCUUCUUUUGUGGAACUUGGUGCAAAUCCGGCCUAUCAUGAGCUAUUGCUGACUGUUUUGUGGUAUGGUGUUGUUCAUACUUCUGCACUUGUCAGGUGUACUGCUGCUAGGAUGUUUGAGCUGUUGGUGAAGGGGGUGAAUGAGACUCUGGUAGCUCAGAGGGUUGUUCCUGCUCUCAUUACUCUCUCCAGUGACCCUGAAAUCUGACUCUUCGAGGCAUGAGUGAAGCAUUAGUUGACAAGCGGGUUGCUCCGGCCCUUGUUACCUUGUCCGGUGAUCCUGAAUUCUCUGUCAGGAUUGCUACAAUCCCAGCAUUUGGCACUAUUAUGGAAACAGUUAUUCAGAGAGAGUUGCUAGAAAGAGUGAAGAUGCAGUUGGCUUCUUUCCUGGAAGACCCUCAGUACCAAGACCAGCAUUCUUUGCAUACAGAGGUCAUCAGAACAUUUGGCCGAGUCGGGCCUAAUGCAGAACCCCGGUUCCGAGAUGAGUUUGUUAUACCACAUUUACAUAAAUUAGCCUUGGUGAACAACUUACAAAUUGUGGAUUCGAAAAGACUGGACAUUGCGACCCAUCUUUUUGAAGCCUACAGUGCACUAUCCUGUUGUUUCAUUUCAGAGGAUUUAAUGGUAAAUCACUUUUUACCGGGCCUCAGAUGUUUACGGACUGACAUGGAACAUCUGUCUCCAGAACAUGAGGUGAUUUUAAGUUCCAUGAUAAAAGAAUGUGAACAAAAAGUAGAAAACAAGACUGUCCAAGAGCCUCCAGGCUCAAUGUCAAUUGCUGCAAGUUUAGUGAGUGAAGACACAAAGACCAAGUUUUUGAACAAAAUGGGCCAGUUGACAACAUCGGGUGCCAUGCUGGCCAAUGUGUUUCAAAGAAAGAAGUAGAAGCCGGGUGGGGGUGGGGAGCCCCGGGAACACUGAGACGGACCUCAAGGAGGCCGCUCCUUGUACUUGAAGCGCUUACCUUUUUUUUUUUUUUUUUCCUGACUUUAUGUUCUUGUGUUAUAAUUUUAUCCUAACCUCCAAAGAUAUUUGCACUGCUUUCAAUUAUUGCUGUGUAUCUAUUGGUUUGGGAAUUAUAACUGUGGUAAUAGAAACUUGAUUUAAUGAUCUGUACCAAGUCCCUAUUCUAUGUUCUUAUUUUUGAGAAUAACUUUUAUAUAUAAUAUAUAUAUGUAUAGUGAAGAGGGGUUUUUUGGUUUUGUUUUUUUAAUUUUUAUUUUUGGAUGGGAUAUUCACAAAUAUCUGUAUUAUACUCUAAUCUAUUACAAUGGUACUUAAAAUAAUGUAAAUUUGAAGUCAUUGUUAUAAAGUAAUAAAAGUGGAGAUUACUUAAGUAUUUAAAUUAUGAAAGAAUAAUGCAGACUUUUUAUUAUUUCUUAACUGACUAGAAAGAGCCACCAGCAUUACUCUGUGCCUUUUGGACUUCAGUUUGUGUGUUCUGUAGGGAUUACAUGCAUUCCUUUCACACAGUAUUCGAGGCUGCUGUGGUGAAUUGGAAUGGCAGACCCUGCAGUCAGUAGAUAAUGAUGAGACUUGGAGCAUUUCACGUUUCUCUUAAGAAUCCUUUAAGUGCUGUUAAGCCUCCCAACACGUAGAUGCGUAUGAUGGAAUUUCCUGAGGAAAACAGCACUUGAGCAUGGUGAGGAGUAGCCAGGGUGAAUUUGACAACAUUUGUACUAGAUUUAAAUGCUCAAGAAUAAAUGUACUGAGAAAAGCUAAUAAUUGCUUAUCCCCAAGUUGAAAUACACAAGAAAAUAUAAUUUAAGUCUGAAAUUUAACACCUAUAUCCUGUAACACAUUUUAGGAUGUUUUCUGAUUAUUUAAACUUUGCAGUUUACUUUUCAUCCUGUGUGAGAAGUACUAAGAAGUUUAGGACACUUAGGGGCUCCAUUUUCCCUUCUAAAGUGAAAGUGACAUUGAUUAAGUUAUUAUUGGUUAGUCACUACCUGGUCCCUUAGACUCAGUGGCUGUCCCCAUUGAUGAGUUUUCUUUAUAUGCUCUCAUGUCUAUUGACAGACAGUCCCACUGGAAUUGGCCAGUUGUCCUCAGUGCUGCGUAUGGAAUGGGGUAACUGGUUUAAGGGGUUAAUGUGAGGCCUUACACAGUUGAUACGUAUACAUGAUUCUCAUAUUUAUUGUAUAAAUUGGCUUUAAUACACUUGGAUUACAUUCACGUCCUAUGGAAAAGCUAGCUUUCCCACACAGUCAAAGCUUAUAAAGUUAUUUGCCUUAGGCAAAGCCAUUUAUUUCUUUUACCUACAGUGAACUUAUUGAGUAGUAGUCUUUCUGAACGGCUGGAUUCUAGGCAUUCCUGAGAGAUUGAAAGUGGCUACCUUUCGUGUCAAAGUGUUGAUCUGUUAUAAUAAAAUGUUUUGCAUACUUGU